rfam:Kandleria vitulina DSM 20405 Scaffold7, whole genome shotgun sequence.
CUCUAGCUACAACCGCUCAUAAAAGGUAUUAAAGCAAUCAGCUGCCUUGGUUGGCGAGUCUAAGAAUAUUU